AACCACCUUAGUUGGGUCUGGACGAGGGUUUGUCUUAUGACAUGCUCGAAUCUGGGUUCAGCGAGGAGGGUUAAGUCGUAACAAGGUAUCCGUAGGGGAACCUGCGGAUGGAUCACCUCCUAAG
rnacentral:rRNA from 1 species